rnacentral:rRNA from 1 species
UGCAGUCNANGAUUAAACUUUCCUUCGGGAAAGAUAUAAAGUGGCGCACGGGUGAGUAACACGUAAGUAAUCUACCUUCGGAUGGGGAAUAACAGUCGGAAACGACUGCUAAUACCGCAUAAUGCAGCGGCACCUAAUGGUGACAGUUGUUAAAGUAUUUAUACGUCUGGAGAGGAGCUUGCGGCAGAUUAGCUAGUUGGUAAGGUAAUGGCUUACCAAGGCUACGAUCUGUAGCCGACCUGAGAGGGUGGUCGGUCACACUGACACUGAAUAACGGGUCAGACUCCUACGGGAGGCAGCAGUCGGGAAUUUUGGGCAAUGGGCGAAAGCCUGACCCAGCAACGCCGCGUGAAGGAUGAAGUCUUUCGGGAUGUAAACUUCGUAAAAAUAGGAAGAAUAAAUGACGGUACUAUUUGUAAGGUCCGGCUAACUACGUGCCAGCAGCCGCGGUAAUACGUAGGGACCAAGCGUUGUUCGGAUUUACUGGGCGUAAAGGGCGCGUANGCGGCGUAUCAAGUCAAUUGUGAAAUCUCCGGGCUUAACUCGGAACGGUCAAUUGAUACUGAUAUGCUAGAGUACAGAANGGGCAAUCGGAAUUCUUGGUGUAGCGGUGAAAUGCGUAGAUAUCAAGAGGAACACCUGAGGUGAAGANGGGUUGCUGGGCUGAUACUGACGCUGAGGCGCGAAAGCUAGGGUAGCAAACGGGAUUAGAUACCCCGGUAGUCCUAGCCCUAAACGAUGAAUACUUGGUGUCUGGAGUUUUAUUCUCUGGGNGCCGUCGCUAACGGUUUAAGUAUUCCGCCUGGGGAGUACGCNCGCAAGUGUGAAACUCAAAGA